AAAACAUACAUGGCAUGACUAUAAAGUAAUGAGACGAGUUUUCAUAUGCGGCUUGUAUUACUGAGUCUCAUUAAUAUAUAGUCACAUCCUGUUUCGAG
rnacentral:pre_miRNA from 8 species